AGAACGAACGCUGGCGGCAUGCCUAACACAUGCAAGUCGAACGAGACCUUCGGGUCUAGUGGCGCACGGGUGCGUAACGCGUGGGAAUCUGCCCUUGGGUUCGGAAUAACAGUUGGAAACGACUGCUAAUACCGGAUGAUGACGUAAGUCCAAAGAUUUAUCGCCCAGGGAUGAGCCCGCGUAGGAUUAGCUAGUUGGUGAGGUAAAGGCUCACCAAGGCGACGAUCCUUAGCUGGUCUGAGAGGAUGAUCAGCCACACUGGGACUGGGACACGGCCCAGACUCCUACGGGAGGCAGCAGUGGGGAAUAUUGGACAAUGGGCGAAAGCCUGAUCCAGCAAUGCGCGUGAGUGAUGAAGGCCUUAGGUUGUAAAGCUCGUUUUACCCGGGAAGAUAAUGACUGUACCGGAGAAGUAAGCUCCGGCUAACGUCCGUGCCAGCAGCCGC
rnacentral:rRNA from 1 species